rnacentral:rRNA from 1 species
UAUUGGACAAUGGGGGGAACCCUGAUCCAGCGACGCCGCGUGAGUGAAGAAGUAUCUCGGUAUGUAAAGCUCUAUCAGCAGGGAAGAAGAAAUGACGGUACCUGAGUACGAAGCUCUGGCUAAAUAGGUGCCAGCAGCCGCGGUAAUACGUAUGGAGCAAGCGUUAUCCGGAUUUACUGGGUGUAAAGGGAGCGCAGGCGGUCUGGCAAGUCUGAUGUGAAAUACCGGGGCUCAACUCCGGGACUGCAUUGGAAACUGUCAGACUGGAGUGUCGGAGAGGCAGGCGGAAUUCCUGGUGUAGCGGUGAAAUGCGUAGAUAUCAGGAGGAACACCAGUGGCGAAGGCGGCCUGCUGGACGAUGACUGACGCUGAGGCUCGAAAGCGUGGGGAGCAAACAGG